UACGGAGGGUGCGAGCGUUGUCCGGAAUCAUUGGGCGUAAAGGGCGCGUAGGUGGCCCGGUCAGUUCGUGGUGGAAAGCGCGGGGCUCAACUCCGCGUCGGCCAUGAAUACUGCUGGGCUUGAGCACUGUAGAGGCAGGCGGAAUUCCGGGUGUAGCGGUGGAAUGCGUAGAGAUCCGGAAGAACACCGGUGGCGAAGGCGGCCUGCUGGGCAGUGGCUGACACUGAGGCGCGACAGCGUGGGGAGCAAAGC
rnacentral:rRNA from 1 species